rnacentral:rRNA from 2 species
UGGGGAAUAUUGGGCAAUGGGCGCAAGCCUGACCCAGCAACGCCGCGUGAAGGAAGAAGGCUUUCGGGUUGUAAACUUCUUUUAAGAGGGAAGAGUAGAAGACGGUACCUCUUGAAUAAGCCACGGCUAACUACGUGCCAGCAGCCGCGGUAAUACGUAGGUGGCAAGCGUUGUCCGGAUUUACUGGGUGUAAAGGGCGUGUAGGCGGGAUUGCAAGUCAGAUGUGAAAUUCCGGGGCUCAACCCCGGGACUGCAUUUGAAACUGUAGUUCUGGAGUAUCGGAGAGGCAGGCGGAAUUCCUAGUGUAGCGGUGAAAUGCGUAGAUAUUAGGAGGAACACCAGUGGCGAAGGCGGCCUGCUGGACGACAACUGACGCUGAGGCGCGAAAGCGUGGGGAGCAAACAGG